UAGAGGAAGUAAAAGUCGUAACAAGGUUUCCGUAGGUGAACCUGCGGAAGGAUCAUUAUUGAAUUUUUGAGGAAGUUGUUUGCUGGCCUUUCGAAAGGGGCAUGUGCACGCUUCGUUCAAAUUUCCAACUCUUUAUACACCUGUGCACUUUUYGUAGGGUUGUGGCUGUAAAAGGCUGCACUCUAUGUUUAUCAUAUAAACUCUUUAGUAUGUGUAGAAUGUUCAUUGCGUAUAACGCAUCUUUAUACAACUUUCAGCAACGGAUCUCUUGGCUCUCGCAUCGAUGAAGAACGCAGCGAAAUGCGAUAAGUAAUGUGAAUUGCAGAAUUCAGUGAAUCAUCGAAUCUUUGAACGCACCUUGCGCUCCUUGGUAUUCUGAGGAGCAUGCCUGUUUGAGUGUCAUGGAAUCAUCAACUCUCUUGGUCUUUAUUGACUUUUAGAGAGCUUGGACUUGGAGGGUUUUUGCUGGUUUCUGUACUUUUUUGAAGUAUAAGAUCAGCUCCUCUUGAAUGCAUUAGCUUGAACCUAUGCUGUGAUCGGCUGUUUGGUGUGAUAAUUGUCUACGCCACAGUUGUGAAAGCUAUAAAUAUAUAGGGUCAGCUUCGAACCGUCCUUUACAAAUGGGACAACAUCUUUAUUGACCUCUGACCUCAAAUCAGGUAGGAUUACCCGCUGAACUUAAGCAUAUCA
rnacentral:rRNA from 1 species